UAAACCAUGCACCGAAGCUGCGGCAGCGACACUAUGUGUUGUUGGGUAGGGGAGCGUUCUGUAAGCCUGCGAAGGUGACCUGUGAGGGUUGCUGGAGGUAUCAGAAGUGCGAAUGCUGACAUAAGUAACGAUAAAGCGGGUGAAAAGCCCGCUCGCCGGAAGACCAAGGGUUCCUGUCCAACGUUAAUCGGGGCAGGGUGAGUCGACCCCUAAGGCGAGGCCGAAAGGCGUAGUCGAUGGGAAACAGGUUAAUAUUCCUGUACUUGGUGUUACUGCGAAGGGGGGACGGAGAAGGCUAUGUUAGCCGGGCGACGGUUGUCCCGGUUUAAGCAUGUAGGCUGGUUAUCCAGGCAAAUCCGGAUAAUCAAGGCUGAGGUGUGAUGACGAGGCACUACGGUGCUGAAGUAACAAAUGCCCUGCUUCCAGGAAAAGCCUCUAAGCAUCAGGUAACAUCAAAUCGUACCCCAAACCGACACAGGUGGUCAGGUAGAGAAUACCAAGGCGCUUGAGAGAACUCGGGUGAAGGAACUAGGCAAAAUGGUGCCGUAACUUCGGGAGAAGGCACGCUGGUGUGUAGGUGAAGCCCCUGCGGGUGGAGCUGAGACCAGUCGAAGAUACCAGCUGGCUGCAACUGUUUAUUAAAAACACAGCACUGUGCAAACACGAAAGU
rnacentral:rRNA from 1 species